UACGUAGGGUGCGAGCGUUUAAUCGGAAUUACUGGGCGUAAAGCGUGCGCAGGCGGUUUUGUAAGUCAGAUGUGAAAUCCCCGGGCUCAACCUGGGAACUGCGUUUGAAACUACAAGGCUAGAGUGUGGCAGAGGGGGGUGGAAUUCCACGUGUAGCAGUGAAAUGCGUAGAAAUGUGGAGGAACACCGAUGGCGAAGGCGCGAGCCCC
rnacentral:rRNA from 1 species